rnacentral:pre_miRNA from 1 species
UAGCUAUAAAAUAACUUAUUUUGUAACCACUUUGAGUUACGAUAAUUACUAUAUUAAUUUACAAGAUUAUAGUAACUCCUUACUAAGUGGUUUACUAUAAUAACUAUUCCAAUGUGUUAUAGUAACCUAACUAUCGUAAAUAUAUAUACAUAUUAUCGUAAAUUAGUAUAUAAAAUUAUCGUAAAUGAAGGUGGCUAUAGAAUAUCAUAUUUUGUAGCUA